rnacentral:rRNA from 1 species
CAGUCGCCACGGUAAUACGAAGGGUGCAAGCGUUAAUCGGAAUUACUGGGCGUAAAGCGUGCGUAGGCGGUUUGUUAAGUCUGCUGUGAAAUCCCCGGGCUCAACCUGGGAAUGGCAGUGGAUACUGGCAAGCUAGAGUGUGUCAGAGGAUGGUGAAAUUCCCGGUGUAGCGGUGAAAUGCGUAGAGAUCGGAAGGAACAUCAGUGGCGAAGGCGGCCAUCUGGGACAACACUGACGCUGAAGCACGAAAGCGUGGGGAGCAAACAGGAUUAGAUACCCGCGUAGUCCCUGUCUCUUAUAC